AAGAGUGAGGGAGGAAUAAGAUUGCAAUAAUUAAUAAGUACAAGCAACAAUAGGAUUGGGAAGGAGGAGAAUUGGGAUCAACAGUCAGAAAACAGAAAAUUGGACUAAUCAAGCAUGAGACUGGAUGCCUGAGGGAAACAAAACUACAUGAGGUUUGCAGUGAAGAAUGAGACUGGAGUCUGGUGAGUGGGCGAUUGCAUCCAAAAGCUGGAGGAGAGACAACAUAUAGGUUGGUCUGACAAGAAAAAUAGCAUGAAUCAAGGGAGCAGGGGAGAAAAUGGUAUUUGGUUUGAUGAAACAGAAUGACAAGGAAAGAAUGAUUGGACAGCUUGCUGAGGUGAAGGAUAAAACUGCCACAUGAUACAGCAGGCUGGAAGCAGGAUUGCUUGGAAAACUUAGGUAGAAGCAUGCGACAAUUGGACCUAUGAGAAAUUCUCUACAGUCAGAGCUACAGCUGAACUUACUGGAACCUGAACUUGAAAAACAUGAAGAUCAGCUUCUUGGGAAAAUGGAAUAAGUGUCACAAGCUGGCACCUUAAACUAGUGUGGACGUUCUGACCUUUGAUCCCUUUUCCUCUAACCUGUCUUGCAUUUGCUAAUUGGAGGUUAAAAUAGCCUUGGUUAAUAGGGGUGUUGUAGAAGCAAAUUUAGGAAUGUUUGUGUCGUGAUCAAGUACUCAUCUCUAGUAUUGAACAGCGUAGGAAAUAUUCACUUUAAAAUUAUUAUUCUGCUUACGUGUAGGAUAAGGAUUCUUUGAAGUAGAAAAAACCUGAGCCAUUGGUCUUUUGCACUCAUAACUACACUUGGUUAACCCAAGCCACAGUUCUAGUCAUUUUCCCAAAUGAGUAACCAUCUCCUUUCAUUUGCAUUAAGCAAUAAAUAGCCUUAAAAAUAA